rnacentral:tRNA from 1 species
UAGGGUGUAGCUCAAUUGGUAGAGCACUGGUCUCCAAAACCAGGAGAUGCAAGUUCGAGUCUUGUCACCCUUG